AUUGGGUUUGCCAAAAAGUUCAUUUGGGUUUUUCUGGAAGAUGUUAUGGGGAAACCUGAAUGAACUUUUUGGCCAACUCAGU
rnacentral:miRNA from 1 species